rnacentral:ncRNA from 1 species
GCAAUGGUUCACUGCACAAGUGAUCAAAAGGGAAUCGGGUGAAAAUCCCGGACAGUCCCGCUGCUGUAAGUUGUCUUUCAGGCGACGGAGACAAAGCCACUGGUCAAACAUCGGAAAGACCGGGAAGGCCUCCGCACCGGACAACAAAGUCAGAAGACCUGCCUUGC